CAGGGCGCGUUAUGCAAGUGCUGGCCCACGGGCCCCGGCGCCUCCCCCUCGGUCUUUCACCCCGCGCCGUUACGAAAGCGCGACCCCCUCCCCCCGGAGCUAUAAAGAGGCCGGGCGGCCCCGCGGCGCGCUCGCUUCCCUUGCUCCACGCGCGCCUGGACCCGCGGCCACGCUUGCGCGCAGCUCCCGACGGGCGGACUCCGGAGCAAGAUGGAAUGGGUUUGGGCGCUCGUGCUACUGGCGGCGCUGGGCAGCGCCCAGGCAGAGCGCGACUGCCGAGUGAGCAGCUUCCGAGUCAAAGAGAACUUCGACAAGGCUCGUGUAGGUAUCAGCUUCCCGGAUCCCCAGCAUUCCCCUUUCCCGGCGGUAAGCCGGGCGCUCCGGGACAUCAAACCCUGGUCUCCUCUCUUCCCCAGUUCUCCGGCACCUGGUACGCCAUGGCCAAGAAGGACCCCGAGGGGCUCUUUCUGCAGGACAACAUCGUCGCCGAAUUCUCCGUGGACGAGAAUGGCCACAUGAGCGCCACGGCCAAGGGUCGAGUCCGUCUUUUAAAGUCAGUGGCAUCUGGAGGGAGGGGAGAGGGACUGUGCUCUUUGUGCUGCAGGGUCCCCCGGGCUGAGCGCCCAACUCUGACUGGGGAGGGAAAGGAGAACCGCGGGUGGGAUGGAGGGAAGACACCCUUUGCUUGGCCUGGCUCAGGAUCCACCUGGCUUUUGCAGUAACUGGGACGUGUGCGCAGACAUGGUGGGCACCUUUACAGACACCGAGGACCCUGCCAAGUUCAAGAUGAAGUACUGGGGCGUAGCAUCCUUCCUCCAGAAAGGAAGUGAGUAGUCAGCUCAUUGGGACUGUGUUGGGGGAUGGGAGGCACACCUCGCCAAAUCGCUGGGUUUCUUCUCCAGCGACACCCUUCUGAAGGAUGCUCUGUAAGUGGCUAGAACCCUCAGCAUGGCUUGAGGCUGGCGGGGUCGGGCGGGGGAGGUUGGUGAAGUUGAGAAUAGAUCAGCCCCUUCAUCACCCUACCCCCUCCCCCCAGCUCAAAAACCUGGCCCAAGCUCAAAAGGACCUUUGGGCUUGUCACGUGACCUCCUCCUGCCAUUUACCCGCGCAGCAGCUCUGUCAGGGCGUGCAGCCUUUUCCAUGCUUAGACCUCCCAUCUCAAGUUCUAACUUACAUUACUGUUCAACCCGAUUUUGUAUUUCCUCCAUUUGUUUGGUCUGAAUCCCUGAAAUAGCUUGACUUCUAGGGGCUCCAGCAGAGGCUCAGAGCCUGCUUGUCCAAGGACGCUGAGCAUUUGUGCACAGGCUUGGCUCACUCCCAGGUGCCCUACCUGCCAAUACUGAGAUUCUAUGUCUGGAUGACAGGGACCUCUUCUCUUUCUCCCAAGCCCCCCAAAUUGUAUGGGGGGCAGGGUGUUGAGGAUUCUCGAAAGAGCACCCUAAAAUCUGACCUGAUGUAGAUGUUUGAGAACGUACACGUGUACGUGCUCUAUUUCUCCCCCAUUUCUACUAAGUUUCAAACCUGGAGUCUUCUUGGUACCUAGAGAAUAAUGCAGCUGGGGGCGGGGGGCAGGGAGGGAGGGGCAUAUCAUGGAAUCUUAGAGAAUGGAGAGUUAACCCUGUGAAGGGGGCUCAAUAUACAGAUGAAUAAACUGAGGCCACAAGAAGAUAGUGCUCAAGACUUUCAUAGCCUGUUGGGAGGUGAUACAUGAAAAUGCUUAAUAAGCACUCAACAGACAUUAGCCAUGACCAUCAUUGUUUGGGGCCCUCCCAAAAAGACCAAAGACUCUCCUUUGUCCAUCUUCCAGAUAAAGUCUAUCGCUCAGCUAAAGGCAUCGUUGUCUGGCUGAUAUAACAACACAGGCUUGACUGUCUACUGUAGUUUCUCCAAGACAAGGUCCCUAGACUGUCUACAUUCAGACCAGCUGGGGUUCUUGUUAAAAAUGAGAUUUGCCGGCUCCAACCCAGACUUAUUGAAACAGGAACUUUUGGGGUGAGGCCUCAGUCUGCAUUUUGACUGUGCUCCUUCUCACAGUAAAGCUUGAGAACCACUGUUUUAGGUCAUUCAAUCCAGAGUUGCUUGGCUUACUCCACUCACUUUGCCUUUGCCUGACUUCUGGGGGCAAUGAGUUAAAAAUAGCACCCUGCCCACAAUCUGGCUCAGCUGGACUAUUAGACCUGAGAACCACAGGGAGCCUCUCACCUAGUUGUGUUGGUUUAAAGGGUUGGAGGACACAGGUAUAGGGAGCUGAAGGGACACAUCCCAGGCCCACCGCAGAGAGGAACAGAUCUUCAGGAUGUCCGGUCCCUAGAGGCAGCUCCCUCUACCAAGGGUUUUCUUUGGUUUUUGGACUGGCACUCAAAACCUCUAAACCCACCUAGGUGGGUACAGUGCAGACACAGAUAUAGUGUAAGCCCAUGCCCUGGGAGGGUAGAGGAGAAUGGGAGCCAUAUGGCCACUGCCUUGAUCACGCUCUCUCCCUAGCUCCUCUGCGUGCAGGUAGCCACUGUCCAAACAGGUUUGGGGUGUCUGGCUCUCCAGGAAGACCCACCCCACAUGCUGGGAAUGAGGAGGUUGGAGGACCAAGCUUGUUCUUCCCAUCAGCCCCGAGAGGGUUCAUCUCUUGUCUUAGAGGGAGACGCUGGUAAAGAUUGCUAAUGAUUUAAAUUCUUCAUCUUUGAACUAUUUAGCCAAUAAGAACCUGGAGAGAAACCAAACCAAUGCAGAUUUUCUUUUAAAGUCAAGAAGGGUAGUCAGUUUUCCUAAAACCAGGCAGUGAAGUUUACUUCCUAUGGCAGCAUUCACAUUCUCGCAACAAUUCUGGGGAAAAAAAAUUAAACCCAAUUCUGGGCUUGUGGCUGCUCUGAUCAUGAAUUGGGGCUCACAUUUCAAAGGAGUGUCUGAGGGGUAGGCUGUGACUGACACAGUGAGCCCCAUAACCAGGGAAGAAAUGACUUCAUUCAAAGAGGAAGAAGACUUUGCCCAGAUGCUUGGGAGCCUGUGAGGGGAGCCGGUGUUCAGGAGGACUUACCAGCAGGCAGCCCCAAGUAUCCGUUCCUGACUAUCUGCUGACCAACAGCGUGGCCACUGCUGUCAAACAUCUAGGCGCCCCCUGCACCUGUGCCCCUGACCCCAGCCUCUGACAUUCUCCCCUUGGGAAACCCUAGGAGGUUCAGGGGUAGCUGGCUCAGUUUUCCUUUUGGCAGGCCUGCCGUGAGCUGAAGAGGGGGCUCACCCCCCACCCCUGUGCAGCUUUCCUGCAGGGCAUGGGUUUGAGUGCCUCCUAGGUGGGCACUCUUGUGGGUCUCAGAGCCAAGGGGCACACCCAGAGGUGACCUAAGAGAGCAUUAGCGAUCUUCCUUACACCCUUAAAGCUCAGGGAUCUGGGUUCCUCUGCAUUCCUCCCGCUCUGUACAUGACCCAGAGCAGAGAUCAUCCCUUGCUUCAUGACCUAGAUGUGAAAAGGAGACACAGAGGCUUUGGUUUCUUGUCCUCUGCCCACCCCACCCCCCACCCCCGCCGUUUACUUAUUGCCUGGAGACGGUGUGGUAUAGAGGCCAGGCGUGGGGACUCCAGAGUCAGAGGGCAUCUCAGUUCUCUGCUACUCUUGGUGAUCCUGGGUGAAUUAUUAAUUUCUCUGGGCCUCCGUUUCCUCAUCUGUAAAGUGGGGAUGACAUAGCCUGCUUUCAAGUCCGUGUGAGGAAUAAUUGAGAAAACAUUCUUUCUAGCUCUGUGGAGGGUGUCUACACCGUGACUGACACGGAGUUAAGGGCUCAGAAAGUCCUGGUCAUGGUUCUAUGUCAACAGGAAUGUUAAGUAGAAACGUGACACGUUUUACCAAAUGCAAGGUAUUUGGAUAAACCCGAGCGGUGUUGUUUCUCCUGGGCCAACCUCUCACAUACGUUCUUAUUACCGUGGUUUCCCAUCCUGCCUUUGUUGACGUUAUUACCACCUUUGUUUACACUUACUCUUCAUCCCCCUGGCUUACAUCCCAGUCUUAGGAAGAAAUAUAAGCUAAUGUCUUCACAGGUGCAGCUCUGCUUCUGUCAGAGGAGCUCUGAAGGGGACAAGCUCUAAGAGAACAUCUGACGUGGGAGGCUGGGUGGGGACCUCUCGCCCCCAAGGCAGAACCUACCCUCUUGUGCCAGCCUGGAGAAGUGAGUCGGGUUACGAAGCUGGAAUUAGGAUGGAGCCAGGAAAGCUGUGACCCAGAUCAUCCAGUAGCCUGAGAGGCAGGAGGGCAGGGUGCGAGGAUGGGAAGGAGUGAUACAGGUCCAUGCAGAAGAGACUCAUCCUGAGGGCGGGGAUAACGUAGUUCGGUGGCCACCAGUAUCAGCCCCAAGGACACAAGUGUGUAUUGUCAGAAGACGGAGAAGACAGCAGUAGAAAGGUCCAUUCUGUGGUUCUCAUGGGCCCACAUUCUCAGUUGUUCCUUGGAAAAAUACCAUCUCACUUAUUGUCAGGGAGAGAAAGAAUCAUUGAUGUGAAUGAGGUUGUACGCCCACACCCCACCGCACCCCAACCUCAGGACUUUUUUCUGUGAAAGACAAAAUCCUUUCUCAUUUUCUCAAUGUCAUCAGAGCUAUCAGAAUUCCCUGUGGUCUCCUGCUUCCUAACUCCUGAAACCAGUUGCGGGAAGUGGCUGUUUUCUGGGGCCUGGCGGUGAGUCUCCUUGACAUCCGAGAGGCUGAGGGAGACGCAGUCGCCUUUGGCUUUCUGGCUUGCAGACGAUGACCACUGGAUCAUCGACACGGACUAUGACACCUACGCCGUGCAGUACUCCUGCCGCCUCCAGAACCUCGAUGGCACCUGCGCCGACAGCUACUCCUUCGUGUUUGCCCGAGACCCCCACGGCUUCUCCCCAGAAGUGCAGAAAAUUGUGAGGCAGAGGCAGGAGGAGCUGUGCCUGGCCAGGCAGUACCGGCUGAUCACUCACAAUGGUUACUGUGAUGGCAAAUCGGAAAGAAACAUUUUGUAGCAACAUGGAGGGUGUCAUGUUUCAUUAGGAAACUUCCAUUAACCCCUUCAGCCCUCAACUAAACUCCUAGGAGUUUAGUUUGUCCCUCUCUCCUUCCCCCACCCCUCCCCUCCUUUCCAGAAACAAAACCUUCAGUACAUGUAAAAAUAUAUGUGGGGAUGAGUGAAUCUGUUUGCACUCAAAUGUAUGUCUUCCCUGGAGUUUUCUAAGGAAUCAUUUGAGGCUUAGGAUUCCAGACUUUGAUUUAUUAAAAUAUGUAUAGUUACCCGUUUCCUAUGAUUUGAGUUUUCAUUUGUGUUCGCAUCUGUGUCAGAGAAAAAAGUCCUUAUCACAACAUUGUAAAUCAACUAUACGUCAAUAAAACUUUUAAAAAA